rnacentral:rRNA from 1 species
CGGCGAGUGAAGCGGCAACAGCUCAAAUUUGAAAUCUGGCCCUCGGGUCCGAAUUGUAAUUUGUAGAGGAUGAUUUUGGUGCGGUAUCUUCCGAGUUCCUUGGAACAGGACGCCUUAGAGGGUGAGAGCCCCGUACGGUUGAAUGCCUAGCCUCUGUAAAUCUCCUUCGACGAGUCGAGUAGUUUGGGAAUGCUGCUCUAAAUGGGAGGUAAAUUUCUUCUAAAGCUAAAUAUUGGCCAGAGACCGAUAGCGCACAAGUAGAGUGAUCGAAAGAUGAAAAGCACUUUGAAAAGAGGGUUAAAUAGCACGUGAAAUUGUUGAAAGGGAAGGAUUUGUGACCAGACUUUUUCUGGGCGGAUCAUCCGGGGUUCUCUCCGGUGCACUUUGCCCAGUAAAGGCCAGCAUCGAUUUUCGGCGGCGGAUAAAAGCAGUGGGAAUGUGGCUCCCUACGGGGAGUGUUAUAGCCCAUUGUAUAAUACGCUGCUGGGGAUCGAGGUACGCGCUUCUGCAAGGAUGCUGGCGUAAUGGUUAUCAAUCACCCGUCUUGAAACACGGACCAAGGAGUCGAACAUUUAUGCGA